rnacentral:misc_RNA from 1 species
AACGCACGAGACCUGCGGACCUGCGGAGGGAUCAUUACCGAGUUAUACAACUCCCAAACCCACUGUGAACCUUACCUCAGUUGCCUCGGCGGGAACGCCCCGGCCGCCUGCCCCCGCGCCGGCGCCGGACCCAGGCGCCCGCCGCAGGGACCCCAAACUCUCUUGCAUUACGCCCAGCGGGCGGAAUUUCUUCUCUGAGUUGCACAAGCAAAAACAAAUGAAUCAAAACUUUUAACAACG